rnacentral:rRNA from 1 species
UACGAAGGGUGCAAACGUUGCUCGGAAUCAUUGGGCGUAAAGCGCACGUAGGCGGCUCCAAAAGUCGGAUGUGAAAUCCCUGGGCUCAACCGAGGAAGUGCAUCCGAAACUGCGGAGCUUGAGUAUGGAAGAGGGUCGCGGAAUUCCCGGUGUAGAGGUGAAAUUCGUAGAUAUCGGGAGGAACACCAGUGGCGAAGGCGGCGACCUGGGCCAAUACUGACGCUGAGGUGCGAAAGCGUGGGGAGCAAACAGGAUUAGAAACCCCAGUAGUCC